GAUCAUCCUGCAUGUCAAGGAGGCGGGGAGCCGAAGCUCGGCAGAGACCGGGGGCACAGGGCAGCCACAGAGCCACGGCAGCUAAGGGUAUCAGAAUAUCUACUGCUGGCCAACAGCAACACCAGCACUUUCACCACAGUGGAGAUGGGUGCCAUGUUGAGGCAAUUCACAGCCACUUAGCUGGACCCAGUGUCAGCGUACAUCUUCAGACUGAUGACCAAGAUGAGGCAGGGCUGAGGAACUCCUAGAGGCCACUAUCAUCACCACUGAGAAGUGAGGUGGUGCUUCGAGGCUAAGGUGACUUGGCCUCCUUGGCAACAUCCAAUGUGUCUGGCCUCUGUCUCUUCAGUGCAGAUUCAAGUGCAACAUGUACAGGAGUGUGACCCCUGUCGUCUCCAUGGUGUAUGGCAUGUAAGCAGUCCAGGCCCUGGGAUCCAGCCUAAGUAGAACUCCCUGCUCAGGGGAGGAGAGCCUGCUUCUCUUGCUGCCUCAGCCUGCUGCUCUGCCUACUUGUGAGCUCUAGGUCUCUGGCAAAGAAGUGAGUACAAUUCUUACAUGAU